rnacentral:snRNA from 1 species
GGAUGUGAGGGUGAUCUAGCUGUGACAUCUACCACCCCAUCGAUCACCAGGGUUGAUUCAGCGGAUCUGGCCAGCUAGGUGGGUAUUCCUUCCCCCCUCAUGUUCCCUCCCAUGUGCAUCCCUCCCAAACCUCUGUGAUCACUCAGGAGAGGAUGACUACCCCUGCUAGAGGAGGACGGUUCUUUGAUCUAUUAGCUGCAUUCCCCUGCUGGGACCCCAAGCAAGCUCUCAAGAAAAUUUUUUAAAGCCCUUUUAAAAGUUCUUCCUAUAUAUAUUAAUUAUAUGUAUAAUCCCUGUGUAUAUACAUAUGUAU